AAUUUGGAUGUUAGGUUUUGAUUAGUGAUUGUAAGUGUAUUAAAGAUUAAGUAUUAGAGUUUUGGAAAAAUAUUAUUUAUUUUAAGAAGAAGGAGAAUUACGUAAAUAAGGAUUUUGUUUUUUUGCGAGUAGUUAAUGCGUAUUUUUUGUUAUUUGGUUAAAUUAAUAGUUGGGAAUGAGUGGGAAUUUUUUGGUUUUUUAGUGGUUA
rnacentral:misc_RNA from 1 species